GUGAUUCCUCUCCCAAACUUCCCUAUAAAUACUCAUGAAAUCAGGCCAUAAAACUCACCCAACCAAGCACCAAGUCACAGAAAAAUAAGCACAAGAAAUUAGCUAUGUAAUUCCCGUAACUAUCCCCUGUUUUCGCGCAUCACCACCACUGUCACCACCGCGGCACCGCCGCCUAUACAACCCACUACUACCAUAAGCACCUCCUCUCGUUAACUAAGACAAAGUGAAACCAUUGUCCUUUAUGUACAAGUCAAGUUGUAACAAACCGUAGCCGAGUCGAAACCCGAAAUCACGUAGUCCCUCUCUCUCUCUCCUCAUUAGAGCGAGCCACCACCGUCUACCACCACCCAGAAGCUGCCUCCAUGAACCUCCGACCGCCUACUCUCAAAACAGUACCACUCUUGUGCCGCCUCACACGCAACCCAUCUUCCUCCUUGUCUCGUGCUUCUCUGUUUCACGAGACCAAAUUGGUCUUGAAACCAAUUCCCCCAAUUGGAGUAAUAUAGUAUACUGUACCUAAUAUCCAAAAGUCAACCUUUGCUUCCUUUUAACCACCAAAUAAAAUGAUGCUGAGCUCGGGAGAUACGGUACAUUGAACAGGAAGUACAAACUACGGUUGAGGUACGAAGAAGAUCGUGGGAUGCCUUAGAGUGAGGAUGCAACCAUCAAAUUCACGAUCGAUGUUUAAUAAAGAUAACUAUGUUAUUAGUAAUGAAGGGAUAUAUUAAUUAAACUCUAAGUUUGAUUUCACGAUUUGAGUUAGAUUUUUAAAUUAACGUUAAACAUGUUAGAAAUAUUUAUUAAGGUUUACUUAGAUUUCAAUGAAUUUUUUUAAAGAAUUAAUCGAAGUGAAGUAUAGUUACUGUUACUCAACAGUAGUCAGUAAAUGUAAAAGGUUAUGUCGCCUUGUAUUUCCCACGAGGGAGAUACGGCAAGUGACGCUCCGACUAAAUUAGGGUUUCUGCUGCUAAUUAAAGAUAAUUAACCUAAUUAAUGGUGUUUGGAAGUCGGGGCGUUACACUUUGUGUCGGCCAAUUUUUGUAAAUACAGUAAUGUAUAAAAAAUCCAA